UUACGGUUAUAUCACGUUGAAAUAUCGGGUUUUAAUUAGAUCAAAGGAGUUAAGCAACGUCAAGCCUAGUCAGUACCUAGAUGGGUGACCGCUUGGGAAUACCAGCUGUUGUAAG